CAGCGGUAGUUCAGUUGGUUAGAAUACCGGCCUGUCACGCCGGGGGUCGCGGGUUCGAGCCCCGUCCGCUG
rnacentral:tRNA from 2 species